rnacentral:snRNA from 16 species
AUACUUACCUUGUUGACAACCUCGUAGCUCAAGAAUUACGAGUUGGCAGGACGAGCCCUCCAUUGCACAUCGGCGAGAUCUGUUCAGUAUCCUUCGGGGUCCUGAUCGGCGGAAUUUUUGAUUGCAUCCCUGUGGGACCU